CACACAACGCGUAAGACACAUCCGACCAAAAGCAUACACAACCUCAAGUUGACGAUUCCCAUCACCGGGACGAAUCAACAAGAAGGAGCCAAAUUUUAUUUCAAAUGUUUUAAGCUUUUAAAUAUUUUAACAUUGACGGCUCAAUUUGAGAGCAUUCUUUGGAUGGAAUGCAAGAGG